GUUAUAGCUGUCAUCUGUCAGUCAAAGAAUUAUCUAAAAUCUUAUAAGAUCAAGUCACAUUGAAAAAAAUGAAAAGUGAAACUACCAAAGAUCAGUUAUCUUCAAAACAAGAAGCUAGAGCUAAACUUCGUGAAUCAUUUUUGAAGGCGGUUAACAGUUUACAUGGUGAAUGCUGUUCAAUCUUGACAUAUGAACAAUCUAAGUUAACAGGGACCUUCUCAAGUUGGAAACCCGAUGGCUCUGAAGUUUUAAUUCAUGAUUUGAAAACACCAGCAAAUAUUGUAAUGACAUCAGCAUUGUUAAGAAUUCCUGACAUUUUAGCAAUACAAUUUGAUAAACCUGUAAAAUUACAAUUAUGAUUAUUAUUGAUAUUUGUAUGAAUGCCGAAACAUAUUGGCUCUGUCAAAGAGAAUGAGAAAUGAGAAUAUGUGGGUGUUUACCUUACUAAUAUUAUUAAUGCAAAAGUUUAGAUAGAUAGAUGGAUGGAUGAUUGUUUGAAG